AUUUUCAGACGCUGGAGUUUCCUCAUAACAGUAACAUUAUUUUUUAUACUUUUCGAGGAAAUUCUUAUAGCAUUAAAAAUUAAUGGCAUAUUCUCUUCAUCUAAUUUUGUUGGAAUGUAGACGGAAGAGGAACGGCUAAAUUAAAAUUUUUACCUUCAGUGCUCUACGCAGUAUAAUGUCUUUAGAAUUAUUAAACGUAACGUGAAUAUAACAUA